GAUGAACGCUGGCGGCGUGCCUAAUACAUGCAAGUCGAACGCAUAGCGAAAGGUGCUUGCACCUUUCAAGUGAGUGGCGAACGGGUGAGUAACACGUGGACAACCUGCCUCAAGGCUGGGGAUAACAUUUGGAAACAGAUGCUAAUACCGAAUAAAACUUAGUGUCGCAUGACACAAAGUUAAAAGGCGCUUCGGCGUCACCUAGAGAUGGAUCCGCGGUGCAUUAGUUAGUUGGUGGGGUAAAGGCCUACCAAGACAAUGAUGCAUAGGCGAGUUGAGAGACUGAUCGGCCACAUUGGGACUGAGACACGGCCCAAACUCCUACGGGAGGCUGCAGUAGGGAAUCUUCCACAAUGGGCGAAAGCCUGAUGGAGCAACGCCGCGUGUGUGAUGAAGGCGUUCGGGUCGUAAAGCACUGUUGUAUGGGAAGAACAGCUAGAAUAGGAAAUGAUUUUAGUUUGACGGUACCAUACCAGAAAGGGACGGCUAAAUACGUG
rnacentral:rRNA from 1 species